ensembl:lncRNA LINC00293 long intergenic non-protein coding RNA 293
GGGCGUCCGCGAUGGUGGUAUUGCUCCAUAUGCCUGAGACCCUAACAAAAGCCUAAUUACAACUCAUAUGCCUGGAGCCAGGACAUGUGCAGGAUGACUCUGCCAAGAGAGGGGAUUAUUACAUAUUGCAGAGCCCAGCACCUAGGUGGAGUGACUCUCAUCUUUUUCUUCUACCCCGUAUAUAGCCAGCUUGGUGACCUACUAUUUGAGUCUAUACCCAGGCCCAGACCACAGAUGAAAUUGUGCAAUAUGUGGAACAAACACCUAAACAAUAUAUAACACCUUCCUUGGCUCUGUCUACAAAGGGCACUUUUAUAUAUCACUGGGACCAUCAACCAGGGUCCUGCGUACUAGGUGGAUUGUGACAUCUCACUGGACCCGCAACCAUGUAGGUCAUGUGACUUUCAUGCCUUCUCACUGGCCACAGGUGAUGUUGUGCCAUAUAACUGAGACCGUAUCAAAAGCCUAAUAACAAGACGUAUGUCUGGAGCCCCGAUAUGCACAGGAUGGUGAUAUAACCCUCUUCUCUGGAAUGGGCCCCACACAAAGGAAGGAUAGUGACAUAUUGCAAGCCCAGGCACACAGGCCCAGAGCACAGUUGAAAUUGUGACAUAUGUACACCAAGCAACCAAGCAAUGUAUAACACCUCAUUUGGCAAUGGAAUCGAGGGCACUUUUACAUAUCACUGAGACCAGCGCCCAGCUGAUGUGAAAUAUUGGCCUGAACCCUGCCUACAAAAGCAUUGUGGCUUUUAUCUAGCUCCAUUACAUAAGUGAUGUGACUUCCUUCUACUGCCUUGGCCCUGCACUUAUGGUGAAUCGUGACACAAAAUUGGGUAGAGCAACCAGCCUGGGCCCUGACCAGCACAGAGAUUGAGGCAUAUUGCUGAACCCAGGACCAAGAUGAAGUCACUCUCCUGCCUUGAUCCUGCACACAGGGACCCUUGUGACAUAUAUACAGGCCAAUUGCCUAGGUGAUGUUGUGCAAUAUACCUGAGACCAGAUCAAUGGCCUAAUAAUGACUCUUUUACCUAGAGCCAGGACAUGUGCAGGAUGUGUCCUCAGAAGGGAUCAUAACAUAUCUCUGGACCCAUCAUCUAGGUUAUGUGACUCUCUUCUCCUGCCUGAACCCUGCUUCCAGUGAAGAGUGUUGCAUUUCUAAGCACUGCAUCCAAAUGACAUGAGUUUCUUGCCUGGGCCGUUUCAACAGAAGGCAUUGUGACAUAUCUCUAGGUCUAUCAUUUAGGUGAUAUGACUCUCCUCUCCUGCCUGGACACUCUCCACAAGGGGCAUUAUGCCAUAGAGCUAGAGCUAGCAACCAAGUUUUGUGAAUUUUCUGUUAGGGCCUUGCCUACAAAGAGAAUUUUGGAAUAUUUCUGGCUUAGAAUUUAAGUAAUGUGGUUGUUCUGCCUGUUCAGUAACCACAGAGGAGAAGGUGAAAUAUAUCUAGGCACCGCAAA